ensembl:lncRNA
CUCCUGGAGAGGCUGUGGGUUCGUGGCAUCCGCGCAGCGGCCGCAAGUGUAGCAGGUUUCGUACCCGGUGUUCAUCGCCGUUAAGUCAUCGCUGCUACCACCCAGGCGCGGCUCUAUCCCGCCGCUCCCUCUACCCUCUCGGCACUGCCAGCAGUAAGAAUUUUUGCUACGACACUCUCUUCAGCAGGAGACCCGGCCCAGCAUCUUCUUGAGCUCCUCCUUGAGGUGGAUGGGCAGCUGCAGGUGGCACAGGAUGAUGUGCAUCUUUUCACACGCCGCAUUGCCUGCUCGCUCGCUCCAAGAUCGCUGGCUCCAAGAUCUCGCCUGUCAGGUUCUCCAGCACCGCUGCCAGGUGAUGGCUGUCAGGAAUUGUGGUGCUUGUGAAGUGAUAAACUGAGCCCUUUGGAUUCCAUGAAGUUAUUAAAGAAUAUAGUUUUCAAAUCACGGCAAAAUCGUGAUUUCAGCAACACGCCAAGAUGAAUCAUUGUUUUCAUGGACAACUGUGGGAGGCACUUUGGGUCCCUAUAUCCUGGAGCAUUAGCCCAGCAUGGCCUCGUGCGUACUGGGACUUACACAUACGCACAAACCUGCCCAUCUUGGCCACUGUUAACACGUGCCAUUAACUUCGUGAAACCAUGUCUGACCUAGGGAAGAUAUUCUUGAAAAACGGAUUAGAGUUUGCCAGAUCCUAUGAGUGCGUGACCUCAGAAGAGAAGAGGAGGGGACACUCCAAUGAUAAAGGUUGAAAGGAGCAGAGCCAGUUGGCCAUGGACUGAAACUUUCAGAGCUACAGUUUGUCUUUAUGUGCAUGGGUGUUUUGCCCGCAUGUAGGUAUGUGUACUGUGCAUGUGCCUGAUUUCCAUGGAGGUUAAAAGAGGAUACCAAAUCACCUGAAACCGGACUUGCACACAGUUGUAAGCAGGCAUGUAGGUCCGGCGAAUUGAACCUAGGAUCUCCGGGAAAGCAGAUUCAGAGGAGUUAAUGUUGCCAUGACUAUCUCAGAAGGAGACAUGGACAGAGGAACAGGUAUCUCACUCCCGUAGGAGCCCCUCCAGCAAACUACUUAUCUCAGUUUCCCUAAACUGCCUGCAAAUGCAGAAGAACACCCUCCAGGUAACUGCUUAUCUUAGUGACGGGUAGGCUAAAGUGCUUUCUUCCUGUGACACCUCCCUCCUCCCCCAACUGCCAACUGACAUGCCAGAAUAUGUUUUUGACCUUCAAAACCCUUGAGCUCUGGACACUCACUGUUCCUAGGUUCCCAAAUACUUAGGUAUAGACCCAGCCAGUGGGAUUGCAGACUUCCAAUUGACUAUAGACUGAGUGGUCAUUUCUGCUCACCCUGUUUGCUUUCUUCAUUCCUCUUCCUCCCUUCUUCCCUGGCAAAAUCUAGGGUGCUAUUUUUCUUUAAAUGUUCUUCUGGGAUAUCAGGAAAUGAGUCAUGCUUUUCCGCUGAGGACUGUAGCUCAGCUGCUGAAGUACCUGCCUGGUAUCUGAAGGCCUCCAAUUCAUCCAACAGUUUGGGUUACGGGUAGCAAAUAACAGGACAGGAAUGUUAUAGAGGGUCUGUCUUUUCCUUUGCUGUCCCUCUUCCCGUUCUGUCUUGUUUUCUAUUUCUCUUUCUAAGGCCUCUUUGCAUAUCCCUGUCUGGCCUGGAACUUGCUCUCUAACUCCUGCUACUCUGUCAUUCUGCCCCUGAUUUUUGGGAGCUGUAUGCCACUGUGCACACCUUCAUGGCUAUGGCUUACCAAAUUGUCAGAAAAAAAAGAAUUCUUUUAUAUCUAAUUCUUUAAACCAUGCUCCUACUGGGAGACUGGUCUGUUUUGUUUGGUUUUCUUUCUCUCUUCCUUCCUUUCUUUCUUUCUUUCUUUUUCUUUCUUUCGUUUGAGUCUUACUCUAACUCAGGCUGAUCUGAAACUCAGAAUAAUCCAGCUGCUUCUGACUCCUGAGGGUUGGGAUUACAGACAUGAGCCAUGUUUUUCUUCUAAAGAUUUAUUCAUUUAUUCUAUAUAAGUACACUGUAGCUGUCUUCAGACACACCAGAAGAGGGCAACAGAUCCCAUUACAGAUGGUUGUGAGCCACCAUGUGGUUGCUGGGAUUUGAACUCAGGACCCCUGGAAGAGCAUUCAGUGCUCUUAACCGCUGAGCCAUCUCUCCAGCCCCAUGUUAUUCUUUUUGCAUUGGAUUCCUAUAAUAACCUCCAUAGUAAUAUAAAGUAUUUUGGCCCUCUUGGCAUAGGGGGCUAACGGUGACUGGGAUAACAACAUGCAGUUCCAGGUGUAAGGGGAGCUGGAUAUGGUAGCAUCACUUAGGAAUGGGAAUUUGCACUGGAGACACUCUAGGAAAUGGAGCAGCAGAAUGUUGAUGCUAUGGCCUGUACCAUUCAUAUAUUACCUAGAUGAGCUACCUUGUCUCUGUGCUUAGUGUUUGUGUUUUAUGUCUUCUGUUAGGUUCCAGUUUUGUUUUUUUCCUAGUUCAUAGCUUUUUAUGGCUUCAUCAUUUCCUUAUGUUUUGCUUGCUUGUGCUUCCUAUUAGUUUUAGCCCUUUGUGUUGCGUGCUGACUUUCAAUGAAUGUAUCCUUCUCCUUGACCUCCCUUUACUGAUUCCUGUGAAUAACCCAGUUCCAGUAACUGAGAACUCUUUGCUAGACCUGUCCGGUUGCAGGUUAACGAGAACAGUUUGUAGAUCUUGGUGUUAUGUUUUUUGGUUAAUAUGAUGUUGCGUCUGCCUUUACUCUGCUUAUUUCUUAUGGUUUCUAACGUAUGGUUAACAACUGACUUCUUCCAUCCUCUGUUUCAGGGGUUUCAGUUGCAAAUGCCUGCAGGAUCCAGAUGUGUGAGAUGGUCCUGGUAUUCUCUCUCUUUUCUUUCUCAUGAAAAGCUGGGUUUUUGUUGUGUUUUUCCUUUGCUGUUCUUUAAUUUAUCAUAGAGAUUACUGGAUGCCAAGGGUCAAGUGUUGGAUCUAAGAGGAUGGGAGAGUAUUUGAGACCCCGAUCAAUUUAAUGUGCAAAAUGAAUCUAAAGAGAAAGGCUAAUAUUUGCUGCUGUUAAUUGUCUGGAAAUGUGGAUCCAGGAUUGCCAGGACUUCCGGUUCACUACAAGGGAAACUUGUAACUUCAAGGUUUUUGUUGCUUUGCAUGCCUCUAGACAAUAGAAUAUGUUCCUAAAUGCUUUAAGAAUCGUACAAUCUGUCUAUUUGCAGUUGUGUUACUGCGAUGUUAACUGUAUUCUUAUACUGUUAACCAAGGGUAUGUGGAACACUUCCUGUUUCACUUAGCUGAGCCCUGACAGUUUCCUUUGGGCAGAGUUUAGAACUGGACCACAAUUUGAAUACAUCUGUGUAAGUUAGGAUGAAAUAAUCUAGGGAAAAUAUAGAUUUUUAUACAUAUAGAAAAACAGAAGAAGAACUGCUGGUUGUUUAGGGAGCUUGUCCCAGCUCAGCUAGCCGAGAUUAUAAGCAUUUGCCAUCAUGCCAGGCAAAGUCUUGAGGUUUUUGUUUUUUAAUGUUCUUCUGAAAUAACAGACAGGAGGUCUAAAUUUCCAGAGAGGAAUUGUUUUAAUUAUUAGAGUAUUUGGCCACUAUAUUUUCCUUUGGGUCAAUCUAACACAAUGGGGGAUAAAUAAGAAAAGAUACAUCUUACAGGCUGUUUCCACUGAGUCCAAGCCACAGUAGGGCCAUUUUAAAGCGACAUUUAGAAUGUAUCACAUUGUAUAGUAAGCUGUUUUCCUUUUAUGUUACUUACCCAGUUAGAGCUUUUAACUUUCUUUGGCGUCUAUGUGUGCGUGUGGUGCAUAUACAUAUUUGUUUCCUGUGGGGGGUGUUUAUUGAUUACCAGUUGUCUUCCUCAGAUAAUUAACAACUUAUAUUGAAGCAGAGUCUCUCAGUGAGGAUCCCUAGUCCGAGCUUUUAAGCACAGGGAUUGUUAGUGCACGUUCAUGUCCACCCUAAGUGGCAUUCAGCUUGUGCUGGGGAUCCUGACCUGAGCUCUUAAAUUUUACCAGUAAAUACUUAGCAAACUGAGCCCCCUCUUCCGCCCCAAGUUGCCCUCUCCCUCCACUUCUUUAUUAGAGGGGAGAGGGAUGGAGAGGAUGCAGUGUGAGAUAAGAACGUGCACAUGUGUGAAUGCUUGACCUGUGUGUGCAUGUGUGGAAGGGCCGCAGCAGGCUCCUGGAGAUUCUGCUGGACAUAGAGUCUAUUCUCUCUCCCAUCUGUGUCCUUGUGAUUGAGCUCCAGUUGUCAGCAUUGUGACUGGUGCAUUUACCUGCUGAGCCAUGUUACUGUUACCCAAGUUUAUUGGUUUUGGGGUGUUUUUCGUCCCUUCUGCUGCUAGGGAAGGAACUCAGGACCAUGUGCUAAGCAUGUGCUAGGCAGAAACAGUCUAUUAUUGACAGAGCUACAUGCAUUGAGGACUACUGGGAAUUAAACCUUUUGAGCUAUGCCCUUUAAGUUUCCCAUGAUGCCCCUUAUGCGCCUGCCUCAGCCAUCUGAGUAGCUGGAGUUAUGGGCCUACACUCUCAGUCCACUCCCUAGUCCUUUUUAUUAUGACAGGCUCACAUCAGGCUGGUUUAGAACACAAUCCUGCUGUCUCUUCAGAAGGCUAAGAUUACAGGUUUGUCAGAUCUGAAUCAAUUCAGUAAUUUUAAAUGCAUGCUAUUUACAAGAGUUUACCUAGAAGUUGAUCAUCAGUUGUCUCAUAGAUAGUAAAGGAUAGGGAAGUUUGAGAAAUUCAUCAAUCUUUUACUCUCCCUCAAAAAGUUUUCUCAUUCAUAACUAAAUCCAUUGUAUGUAGCCUCUGAUUUGGGGCUCAGUGUCUCUGGGUAGAUUUCUAGGUUGCCAUGGUGUUGAAGUCUUGUGGCAGUGAUCCUAAGCUGUUUUAGCUGCCUUUUGCCUUGAGCUUUUCAUAUUACUUGGUGUCUAAUUUUUCCUUAUUAUGCACACAAGUCCUGGUUUGUUUUUGUAAUUAACUCUUAAAGGUUAUAUCUCUGGCUGCUUCCUUCUGAAUGUCAACAGUUGACUCUCACACCCUCAUGUGGCUGCUAAAGAUGUCCCAGUUUCCGGCAGCAGGGAGACAGAGUGUGAUCUCUAUCCACUUAGAGAAUGCUAUGCCAGUAAAGCUUCGUUCUUGAAUUUCAGGGUGAGCCUGGUGAAGCAAAGGUAGUUAGCUUAUUAAGUAAAGGCAGAGAAGUGGGGAAAGGACAAGGACAGUACACAGUCUCAAGGCUCCUUGAGAGUUGAAGUUAAAUUAUGUACAUCUACAUAGAUGGUCCCUGGCUUUUUAAACUGUGUCACAAAGGAUUACAACAAGAAUUAGUUGAGUUUUCAUGUUUAAAAUUUUAAUAAUUAUUUGAGCAGGUUUACUUAUUUUACAUCUUUGAGAAUUUUAUUUGUGUAUAUGAGUACAUUGUCACUGUCUUCAGACACAGCAGAAGAAGGCAUCAGAUCCCAUUACAGUUGGUCGUGAGCCACCAUGUGGUUGCUGGGAUUUGAACUCAGGACCUCUGGAAAAGCAGUCAGUGCUCUUAACCGCUGAGCCAUUUCUCCAGCCCAGAGGAGUUUCUAUGAGGUUGGACCACUGAUCAUUGAGUAGGAGCUUCAUCUUUAAAAUUUGGGGUGUGCAGUUAUGAACUGGAAAAGGCUGCAUCGUGAAUGAAAACACAGUGCAGAGUGGGACCCGUGUUGCUCUCUGGAUAGAACAACAAGAGUGGCGCCCCAAGAAGAUGGAGAGUGACGUUUUGGGAGUUUCCCAUUGGAGCAAAGUGAGAGAAAGAUGGAGUGAAUGAGGUGUCUUUAUUUUGUGAGGGAUACAUAAACUGCUUCUCAAGGAUUGGAGAUUUCUACGUAUUACUCCUUUUUAAAGAUUUCUAUUUACCCGAUUGACAAACCAGAUCAGGGUUUUCAUUGAAUUCUGCUACAUGGAUAAAGGGCUCAAGGGCAAGGGAUAGCACCAGACGUGCUAAUUAACUGAGUGAAAAAGUACAACAAGCAUUCCCUGAAGUAGCUCCUGCUGUUUGUCCAACAGGGAAUUUUUCUCAUGGGAGAUGUUUGGCACAGGGAUGUUUCUCUUCAUGUAACUCUUCAGCUCACCAGACAAGUUGAACUUAAAUUUUUAUGGUCUUGUGAGUUAGUCCGAUAAAUGAAGGAGCAAGAAAGCCAACACCCAGUUGGCAAGAAUAUGACCUACUGACUGACAGCCAUUAAAAAACUCGAUUCAAUUGGCCUGAGCUUUUCUGUAUUCUAUUAAAAAUGAAAUUUCCCCCUCAGUGAAAGUAACAUGAUCAACAUUUUGAAAGUUAUGAACAUGCACAAUUAUAUAAGCCUUGAAGCAAUGACUUGUAAAAGUAUGGAUACUCUUCCUGUAAGCGGCCAGAGGUGACCCGUGGUUCAUGACUCUCUAGACCCACAAAACCAUGCAAAUUAAUAGACUCAAACCGUUAUGUUCACAUUAAGUUUAAUAUAAGUUCUACAUCGAAUAUGUACUUCUGGAUUUAUUAUUGUACAAAUUGGACUUAACAAAUUUUUAAUAUAAAAUGUAUUAUACACCAUACAUUAAUAGUUAUAUAUCUUGUUUCUUGAGAAUUAAUUUCUACCAAUUAUUUCCUUUUGAAUACUUGCUGUUGAAUUAUUCUCAAUAUACUUGUACAAAUUCCUGCCUGUAACUAGUAAAUGUGGAUAUUUCAUUAAACAAUUACUAUAUAACAUUCUCUGGAAGGUUCUGCUAAUAAUCUCAUCUGUGGUCCUAUACAUUGUUAAAAAUAUAUAGUUGCAUAUCUUCCGUUCCUGCAGAAUGCUUUUGUAGCUGCCGUUUUCUGCAGGGGGUCUGUGUUGCCCUGCCUUUUUCGUGAUUUGCAAAGUGGAAUUGAGUAUUGCUAUCGUGCCAAGCAGUAGGACGUCUUACAUAAUCAGUCCCUUUUUACUCCUAUGCAUGGGAACAACUAUUUUGAUCUAUAUACACAGCAAAUGUUUGAAAUUGAAAUAUGUCAAAUCAUAUACUGUGUUUAGAAUUAGGAGUCUGGCUGCUUUCGCUUCUUAAAUGGACCCAUUAUUUACCCAUGCUGGUGAGUUUUACACGAUUCUCUAAUUGUUCAACAUGUGGGAUCGUUCUACUUCUGACAGUUACGAGCAAGGUUCAUAUGUACUUUUAGGUAUAAGGUUUUUAAGAUUUAGAUUAAUUGUCCUUAGUUCUAUGUAUGAGUUCUUGUGCUUAUAGAGGCCAGACGCUUAAGGUAUCACAUUUCUUCUGAACCUGGUGUUAUAUAAAUAUUUGUAAGGUGUCCAGCACGGGUGAAUUUCUUUUUCUUUUGGUGUUUAAUUCUUUUCAUGUUCCCAAUAUGAAUUCUGUCAGAGGACCUUCCGUUCUUUAUUUCCUUUGCUGUACUUUACACUUUGAUGUGAUCCCAUUUGUCAGACUUUGCUGUUAUUUCUUAAGCUAUUCCUUUUCAGAAAUUAUUGCCUUUGAUUUUAAUGCAAAGUAUUCUCCAUUUUCCUUUACAAGUUGUAGUUUCUGGAUUUACAUUAGGGCCUUUUAUCCAUUUUGCACUAUUCUUUGGAUAGCGGGAAAAGCAGAGAUAUUCUGUAAGUGGGUAUCCUACUCUUUCUUUGGGAACUUUGUGUUGAAAGCGGAGAGACACGCUCAGUGUUUACAGCCCAGCCCUCGCAAUAGGCUCCCAUCGUGAUUCAGCAAAGUUGGUUCUCACUUUGGUAAGGGAGCUAAGGCAUAGGUAUGGCUUUUAAACAUACUAGAUUGGUGCCCGUGGUACCCAUCUAGGCAAUUUGCCAAAUUCAAGGUGAAAGGAAAAGCAUCUGAAUGUGACAGAGCCAGUGACAUGCCCACCAAGUCUCAGAAUUAUUACCAGAAUACACCUUGUGGUAAAGGUGCCAAGGCAUGGGAUUGUUUCCAGUGAGAAUUAACAAGCACAAUAGUUUGUCACUAUGAGCAGGAGUGGAAGCUGAAUUCACCAUGGCAGAUGCCUAUGUCAACUAUUUUAAUAAAUCCAUUCGUGGGGGUAGCUUGAGAGGUGGCUUGUAAGCCCUUUGGUGGAUUCCCAGCACCCUGUUUUGGCUUCUGCAUGGAAUGUGCACAUACAUACAUGGUGUACAAACAGACAUGCAGGUAGAACAUCUAUAUGCAUAAAACAAAACCAAUCAUAAUGCUGAUGUUUUUUUAAGAAGGUUUUCUACAUCCUUGUGGUCUCCUGAUCUAGUAUAGUCUGAAGUCUGAUAUUGGUAUUGGUCAUUGGUCUGAUGAUUGCCUUGGCUCUUUUCGUAUGAGUUGCAAGAUUUUACUCCAG